UUCAUAAUUACAUUGUCUGAUUUAGAGUGUGAUUACAUUAAUGCCAGAUCAUGUUGCUCAAAAUUAAACAAGUGAGUAAUUCCAGAAUUGAUUGGCCAUACCAUUGUCACUAUAUUAAUGCUCAUUUCAUUGCACUGGUUCAUCUUCCUUCUCAAUUUACCUGUUGCCACUUGGAAUAUAUAUCAAUACAUUAUGGUGCCAAGUGGUAACAUGGGAGUGUUUGAUCCAACAGAAAUACACAACAGAGGGCAGCUGAAGUCACACAUGAUCAAGCUUGGUUUCCACCUGCUCUGUUUCUUCAUGUAUCUUUAUAGUAUGAUUUUAGCUUUGAUAAAUGACUGAAGCUGGAGAAGCUGUGGUUGAAGUCAACCUACAGCACA